UAACAAUGAGAGACUGAAUAACAGUUUUUCAAUUGGAAUGAGAUAUGAGAAGAGAAAAAAGCGAGAAACAAGUGGAGGGCAAGUCUGGUGCCAGCAGCCGCGGUAAUACCAGCUCCACAAGCGUAUAUUAAAGCUGCUGCAGUUAAAACGCUCGUAGUUGUGGUUUCGUUAGCGGAGCGGUCUGUGUCUCAAAAAGACGCGGGCAGUUCUGCUAGUUACAAUCUAGUGUGUGUGUUAACUCAUUCAUACUAAGUAAACCUUGAAGAAAUAUUGACGCUUAAAAUUUGACUUAAGUCAAAGUUCUUUUUGCAUGGGAUUUUGGAAUAUGAGUGGUGGAGUAAAAUCCGCUGCUAAUGACAUUCGAGGAUGAAAGAGGAAGUUAAUAUUUGUGAGUCAGAGGUGAAAUUCUUGGAUUUCACAAAGAUUAACUAAUGCGAAGGCAUUCUUCAAUUGCUUUCCUGUCAAUCAAGAACGAAAGUAAGGGGAUCGAAGACGAUCAGAUACCGUCGUAGUCUUUACAGUAAAUUUUGCCGACAAAGGAAACGGGAAAGACCUAGAAUGCGCCGGGCAACUGGUACAUUUAAUAUCCUCCUGUUUUCUCCCACGAAAGUUUAAGUCUUUGGGUUCUGGGGGGAGUAUGUUCGCAAGGCCGAAACUUAAAGGAAUUGACGGAAAGGCACCACCAGGCGUGGAGCCUGCGGCUUAAUUUGACCCAACACGGGAAAACUUACCAGGUCCAAACAGCGUGAGGAUUGACAGAUUGAGAGCUCUUUCAUGAUUCGUUGGGUGGUGGUGCAUGGCCGUUCUUAGUUGGUGGUGCGAGCUGUCUGGUUGAUUCCGUUAACGAACGAGACCUUUGUGAGAUAAUAGUUGAAUCAAGAUAUUGCGUCAAGGCUGGAGCUCACGUAUUGGGGAAGGAUCCGUUCCUCCCUUUACUCUGGGUUUCAGUUGCAAUCUAGAUUACAACUUCUUUCUCAGACAAAUGAAAAAAAUUCAUUGGAAGUUGGAGGCAAAAACAGGUCUGUGAUGCCCUUCGAUGUUCUGGGCUGCACGCGCGCUACAAUGACAAAGUCAACAAGUUUUUUCCUUGCUUGAAAGGGCUGGGUAAUCUCUAAAACUUUGUCGUAAUAAGGAUCGCUGAUUGAAACUAUUCGGCGUGAAUCAGGAAUGCCUUGUAAUUAUAAGUCAUCAGCUUAUAGUGAAUACGUCCCUGCCUUUUGUACACACCGCCCGUCGCUCCUACCAAUUGGUAUAAACGGUGAAAAGUUCGGAGACAACUUUCGUUCAGAGUCAAAUCUGAUGUUAGAUAUCAAAGUUCUUUAAAUCUUUUGUACUAGAGGAAGGAGAAGUCGUAACAAGGUUUCCGUAGGUGAACCUGCGGAAG
rnacentral:rRNA from 1 species